rnacentral:rRNA from 1 species
GUAACGGCGAGUGAAGCGGCAACAGCUCAAAUUUGAAAUCUGGCCCCCUCGGGGUCCGAGUUGUAAUUUGUAGAGGGUGUUUCGGGCGCGAUGCCGGUCUAAGUUCCUUGGAACAGGACGUCGUAGAGGGUGAGAAUCCCGUAUGCGACCGGCGAUCAAGCCUGUGUGAAACCCCUUCGACGAGUCGAGUUGUUUGGGAAUGCAGCUCAAAAUGGGUGGUAAAUUUCAUCUAAAGCUAAAUAUUGGCCAGAGACCGAUAGCGGACAAGUAGAGUGAUCGAAAGAUGAAAAGCACUUUGGAAAGAGAGUCAAACAGUACGUGAAAUUGUUGAAAGGGAAGCGCUUGCAAUCAGACCGGUCCGGAGGUGAUCAGCCGCUGCUCGUCAGCGGUGCACUCGCCUGCGAUCCGGCCAGCAUCGGUUUGGGCGGUGGGAUAAAAGUCCCGGGAAUGUAGCUUCUUUCGGGGAGUCUUAUAGCCCGGCUCGCAAUGCCGCCCGCCUGGACCGAGGACCGCGCUUCGGCUAGGAU